CCUUCGCCCACCCUUUGUGAACGAUAUUGAUUGCCCCGGGGGACCCCGCACCCGUGCGGCCCCCCGGUGGCCCCCCAUAACUCUUGUUGUAUCUGCCGUCUGAGUCGCAAAUGCAAAUGAAACAAAACUUUCAACAACGGAUCUCUUGGUUCUGGCAUCGAUGAAGAACGCAGCGAAAUGCGAUAAGUAAUGUGAAUUGCAGAAUUCAGUGAAUCAUCGAAUCUUUGAACGCACAUUGCGCCCCCUGGUAUUCCGGGGGGCAUGCCUGUUCGAGCGUCAUUACAACCAAUCCAGCCCGGCUGGGUGUUGGGCGUCGCGGCCUGCCGCGCGCCUCAAAGUCCUCGGCGGAAGCCGCCCGUUCCUCUGCGUGAUGAUCCAUCGCCGCUUGGGAGUCGGGGGAGAGCGCCUGCACGCGUCGACGGAGACGUCGACUUCAAGGUUGACCUCGGAUCAGGUAGGG
rnacentral:rRNA from 1 species